ACGCUUUUUGUUUAAUCUAGCUGCUAAAAAUGCGCCCCUAAAUGGAACGAAUAGCUUAUCAAAAAUUGGUCUACCUAAACCUACUCGAUAGACGUUAAUUCUCCCAAUUUUUUCUAAAUUUGGUAAAACUUUUUGAAUUUUUAAUAAUUUUGUGGAUAACUCGGUGAACUGAAACAUCUUAUUAGCCGAAGGAAAAGAAAGCAACAGCGAUUUUCUUAUUAGUGGCGAGCUAACAGAAAACAGCCUAAACCUUUGUGGGUGUCGUGGGGUUUCUAUAAAUAUGUAUAAAACUUUUCGAAGCUGCUGAAUACAGCGUCAAAGAAGGUUGGAAAUCCUGUAGAAAAGAAAUUAUACAAUUAAGAAAAUUUCCCGAGUAGCAUAGAGCACGUGUAAUUCUGUGUGAAUCUGCGAGGACCACCUCGUAAGGCUAAAUACUCCUAAGUGACCGAUAGUGAACUAGUACCGUGAGGGAAAGCUGAAAAGAACCCUGGGAAGGGAGUGAAAUAGAUCAUGAAAGCAUAAGCUUACAAGCAGUAGGAGGUCUAUUUAAAGACUGACUGUGUGCCUGUUGAAGAAUGAGCUGGCGACUUAUAGGCAGUGGCUUGGUUAAGGUUUUUUCCGGAGCCGUAGAGAAGUCGUGUUUGAAUAAAGCGUUUGUCACUGUUUAUAGACCCGAACCCGGGUGAUCUAACCAUGACCAGGAUGAAGCUUUGGUAAAACAAAGUGGAGGACCGAACUCACCAAUGUUGAAAAAUUGGGAGAUGAGUUGUGGUUAGGGGAGAAAUUCUAAUCGAACUCGGAGCUAGCUGGAUCUCUUCGAAAUGCGUUGAGGCGCAGCGGCAAUUCAUGGUAAUAUUAGGGGUAAAGCACUGUUUCGAUGCGGGCUGCGAAAGCGGUACCAAGUUGUGGCAAACUCUGAAUACUAAUAUCUAUACGAAUAGCCAGUGAGACUGUGGGGGAUAAGCUUCAUUGUCGAGAGGGAAACAGCCCAGACCACCGUUUAAGGCCCCUAAAUAUUUGCUAAGUGGUAAAGGAUGUAAUAUUACAUAGACAACCAGGAGGUUAGCUUAGAAGCAGCUAUCUACCUUUAAAAAGUGCGUAAUAGCUUACUGGUCAAGUGAUUUUGCGCCGAAAAUGAAUGGGACUAAGCAUUUUGCCGAAGACGUGGGAAUUAAUAAUCAGUAGAAGAGCGUUCUGUUUUGGUUUGAAGCGGUAGUGAAAACAGUCGUGGACUAAGCAGAAGUGAGAAUGUCAGCUUAAGUAACGAAAACAUUGGUGGAAAUCCAAUGCCCCGUAAAUCUAAGGUUUCCUUAGCUAGGUUCGUCCACUAAGGGUUAGUCAGAUCCUAAGGUUAGGUUUAACAACGUAACUGAUGGUUAACAGGUUGAUAUUCCUGUACUACCUUAUGUUUAAUCAGGAGUAACGAAAAAGGCUAAUUCAGUCAGACAUUGGUUGUUCUGAUUUAAGGAUUCAAGGUAAUAGUUGUAUUAUAAAAAAUGCUUCUAGCUGAGGUCCGAAUACGAUAGAUACUACGGUAUCAAAAGUGAACUACGUCAUGUUUCCUAGAAAAACUUCAGUGGUGUGUAACAUAAGGUAUCUGUACCGUAAACUGACACAGGUAGAUUGGUAGAGUAUACUAAGGGGCUCGAGAUAACUCUUUCUAAGGAACUCGGCAAAAUGACUCCGUAACUUCGGGAGAAGGAGUGCCUCAUUUAUGAGGUCGCAGUGAUCAGGUCCAAGCGACUGUUUACCAAAAACACAGGUCUCCGCUAAGUUGUAAAACGAUGUAUGGGGGCUGACGCCUGCCCAGUGCCGGAAGGUUAAAGAAAUUGGUUAGCUUAUGCGAAGCUAGUGACUGAAGCCCUGGUGAACGGCGGUCGUAACUAUAACGAUCCUAAGGUAGCGAAAUUCCUUGUCGGGUAAGUUCCGACCCGCACGAAAGGCGUAACGAUUUGGACACUGUCUCAGAAAGAGACUCGGUGAAAUAGAAUUGACUGUGAAGAUGCGGUCUACUUGCACUUGGACAGAAAGACCCUAUGAAGCUUUACUGUAACUUGAAAUUGGCUUUGGGCUUUUCUUGCGCAGAAUAGGUGGGAGGCUUUGAUUCUCUUUUUCGGAAGUAGAUGAGCUGAAAUGUGAGAUACCACUCUGGAGAAGUUAGAAGUCUAAUAGUAUGCUUUAAUCAAGAUACUUGAAAGUUUCAGGCGGGCAGUUUUACUGGGGCGGUAGCCUCCUAAAAGGUAACGGAGGCGUACAAAGGUUUUUUCAGUCUGGACGGAAAUUAGUUUUAGAGUGUAAAGACAUAAGAAAGCUUGACUGUGAGACCUAUAAGUCAAACAGGGACUAAAGUCGGUCUUAGUGACCCGACGGUGCUGAGUGGAAAGGCCGUCGUUCAACAGAUAAAAGUUACUCUAGGGAUAACAGGCUGAUCUCCCCCAAGAGUUCAUAUCGACGGGGAGGUUUGGCACCUCGAUGUCGGCUCAUCGCAACCUGGGGCGGUAGUACGUCCCAAGGGUUGGGCUGUUCGCCCAUUAAAGCGCCUAUCGUGACUGGGAAACAGAUCGGAAGAGCACACGUCUGAACUCCAGUCACUAAUGCGCAUCUCGUAUGCCGUCUUCUGCUUGAAAA
rnacentral:rRNA from 1 species